rnacentral:rRNA from 1 species
UACAGAGGUCCCGAGCGUUGUUCGGAUUCACUGGGCGUAAAGGGUGCGUAGGUGGCAAGGUAAGUUUGAUGUGAAAGCUCAGGGCUUAACCCUGAAAUGGCAUUGAAUACUACUGUGCUGGAGGUUUGGAGGGGGGGACUGGAAUUCUUGGUGUAGCAGUGAAAAUGCGUAGAUAUCAAGAGGAACACCAGUGGCGAAGG